rnacentral:rRNA from 1 species
UACGUAGGGGGCAAGCGUUAUCCGGAUUUACUGGGCGUAAAGCGCGUGUAGGCGGUUGCGCAAGUUGGUUGUGAAAUCUCCCGGCUCAACCGGGAGGGUGCGCCGAAUACUGAAUGACUUGGAGUGCGGGAGAGGAAAGUGGAAUUCCUGGUGUAGCGGUGAAAUGCGUAGAUAUCAGGAGGAACACCGGUGGUGUAGACGGCUUUCUGGACCGUAACUGACGCUGAGACACGAAAGCGUGGGUAGCAAACAGG